rnacentral:rRNA from 1 species
UACAGAGGUCUCAAGCGUUUGUUCGGAUUCAUUGGGCGUAAAGGGUGCGUAGGUGGCGCUGUAAGUCGGGUGUGAAAUUUCGGAGCUUAACUCCGAAACUGCAUUCGAUACUGCGGUGCUUGAGGACUGGAGAGGAGACUGGAAUUCAUGGUGUAGCAGUGAAAUGCGUAGAGAUCAUGAGGAAGACCAGUGGCGAAGGCGGGUCUCGUGGACAGUUCCUGACACUGAGGCACGAAGGCCAGGGGAGCAAACGGG